UACAGAGGGUGCAAGCGUUAUUCGGAAUUAUUGGGCGUAAAGAGCGCGUAGGCGGUCUCGACAGUUUGGUGUGAAAUCCCUGGACUCAAUCCAGGAAGUGCAUUGAAUACUACGAGACUAGAGGAUAGGAGAGGACAGCGGAAUUCCUGGUGUAGAGGUGAAAUUCGUAGAUAUCAGGAGGAACAACAGUGGCGAAGGCGGCUGUCUGGACUAUAACUGACGCUGAGGCGCGAAAGCGUGGGGAGCAAACAGG
rnacentral:rRNA from 1 species